UACGUAGGUGGCAAGCGUUGUCCGGAUUUAUUGGGUUUAAAGGGUGCGUAGGCGGCUUUGUAAGUCAGUGGUGAAAUAUGGCAGCUUAACUGUCAGGGUGCCAUUGAUACUGCGGAGCUUGAGUACAGAUGAGGUAGGCGGAAUUGACGGUGUAGCGGUGAAAUGCUUAGAUAUCGUCAAGAACACCUAUAGCGAAGGCAGCUUACUAGGCUGUAACUGACGCUGAGGCACGAAAGUGUGGGUAGCGAACGGG
rnacentral:rRNA from 1 species